AGCGAACGCUGGCGGCAGGCCUAACACAUGCAAGUCGAGCGGCCGUAGCAAUACGGCAGCGGCAGACGGGAGAGUAACACGUGGGAACGUGCCCUUUGGUUCGGAAUAACGCAGGGAAACUUGCGCUAAUACCGGAUAAGCCCUUACGGGGAAAGAUUUAUCGCCAAUGGAGCGGCCCGCGUCUGAUUAGCUAGUUGGUGAGGUAACGGCUCACCAAGGCGACGAUCAGUAGCUGGUCUGAGAGGAUGAUCAGCCUCACUGGGACUGAGACACGGCCCAGACUCCUACGGGAGGCAGCAGUGGGGAAUAUUGGACAAUGGGCGCAAGCCUGAUCCAGCCAUGCCGCGUGGAUGAUGAAGGCCUUAGGGUUGUAAAGUCCUUUCGGCGGGGAAGAUAAUGACGGUACCCGCAUAAGAAGCCCCGGCUAACUUCGUGCCAGCCGCCGCCGU
rnacentral:rRNA from 1 species